CGAAGGGUGCAAGCGUUAAUCGGAAUUACUGGGCGUAAAGGGUGCGUAGGCGGUUGUUUAAGUCUGUCGUGAAAUCCCCGGGCUCAACCUGGGAAUGGCGAUGGAUACUGGGCAGCUAGAGUGUGUCAGAGGAUGGUGGAAUUCCCGGUGUAGCGGUGAAAUGCGUAGAGAUCGGGAGGAACAUCAGUGGCGAAGGCGGCCAUCUGGGACAACACUGACGCUGAAGCACGAAAGCGUGGGGAGCAAACAGGACUAGAUACCCUGGUAGUCCACGCCCUAAACGAUGCGAACUGGAUGUUGGUCUCAACUCGGAGAUCAGUGUCGAAGCUAACGCGUUAAGUUCGCCGCCUGGGGAGUACGGUCGCAAGACUG
rnacentral:rRNA from 1 species